rnacentral:rRNA from 1 species
CUCAACAUGAGAGUUUGAUCCUGGCUCAGAACGAACGCUGGCGGCAGGCUUAACACAUGCAAGUCGAACGCCCCGCAAGGGGAGUGGCAGACGGGUGAGUAACACGUGGGAACGUACCCUUUUCUACGGAAUAACCCAGGGAAACUUGGACUAAUACCGUAUGUGCCCUUCGGGGGAAAGAUUUAUCGGAAAAGGAUCGGCCCGCGUUGGAUUAGCUAGUUGGUGGGGUAAAGGCCUACCAAGGCGACGAUCCAUAGCUGGU